GGUCGGGUCUGCCCGGUGGGGUGCGCCCUUAACGGCCGCAGUAAAUGGUGACUAAAGUACCUUAAUUUACUUGCCCUUUAAUGGUGGAGCUAUGAGAAUGAUACAACGAGAGCUACUCUGUCUCGGUGGUAGUGAUAUGAAAAUAUAGUGUUGGUGAAAAUACCAAUAUAGCGUAGAGGGACGAGAAGACCCCGUGGAGCUUUAGGGUUAGCUUAAUUUAGGAGCAGGAGGGAUAGGGGUAUUACACCCCCAUGACUCUUAAGAUAGCUUUAUAGGUUGGGUAGGCCUUUCGGCUGGGGCAGCCGGGUAGGAAAGGUAUACUGCUUGUGGCGGUGUAGGAUAACUUGCUAUAACGAUCCACCAUAGAGUGUGAUAGUCGGAAUCAGUUACCCCGGGGGUAACAGGCUAAUUACGCUUUUAAGAGACGUUAUCGGAAGGCGUGAUUGGCACCUCGAUGUUGCCUUAGGAUGGCCUGGGGAUCGCAGGAGAUCCCGAGGUUGGUCUGUCGCNCCCAUAAAAANCC
rnacentral:rRNA from 1 species